CCAGCAGCAAUCAUUCAGUGAAACGUCACAUACAUCCUCUCCUCAUGUAUAUAAAUCACAUAAAAAUAAUGAAAUCACACAUUAAUGGCACAACUGACAGUCAAAUCAAUUACAUUCUCCUUCUAGUUACAUGACUGAUUAUCCAUUGUUUAGUUUUGGCAGAGGUGCGGUGAUUAAUAAAUUGAAUCUCCAGUUGCUUUUCCCCAAUUCAAAAAUGUAAAAAUGAAAAAUAAACUAAUACAGUAUCAAUGGAUAAUUGUGACCUUACUGCCCAAAUGACCAGAGAACAAGCCGAUCAAAAAAAAAGACCAAAGAACAAUCUUCUACUUUUCCAAUGGAACAAAUUUUAGGCAGCUUAGUCAAUCAUUCCACUUGGCUCCCCACUUUUUUAGAAAGUUCUUUUACACUUUUUAAUUAAUCAAUAUGGACACACUACUUAGCUCAUGACUUAAUAUAGUCAUCACUGGUGAUUUCUUUUCUGAACAGUAUACAGUAAUACUCAUUGAGGAAUUUCAUCAAUCAUGUACAGUAUAAAC
rnacentral:lncRNA from 1 species